AGGGUUUGAUCCUGGCUCAGAUUGAACGCUGGCGGCAGGCCUAACACAUGCAAGUCGAGCGGUAACAGGGAUAGCUUGCUAUCUGCUGACGAGCGGCGGACGGGUGCGUAACACGUAGGAAUCUACCCAGUAGCGGGGGAUAGCCCGGAGAAAUCCGGAUUAAUACCGCAUACGCCCUAAGGGGGAAAGCAGGGGAUCUUCGGACCUUGCACUACUGGAUGAGCCUGCGUCGGAUUAGCUAGUUGGUGGGGUAAAAGCCUACCAAGGCAACGAUCCGUAGCUGGUCUGAGAGGAUGAUCAGCCACACUGGGACUGAGACACGGCCCAGACUCCUACGGGAGGCAGCAGUGGGGAAUAUUGCACAAUGGGCGCAAGCCUGAUGCAGCCAUGCCGCGUGUGUGAAGAAGGCUCUAGGGUUGUAAAGCACUUUCAGCGAGGAGGAAAGGGGUUGAGCUAAUACCUCAGCUCUGUGACGUUACUCGCAGAANAAGCACCGGCUAACUCCGUGCCANCAGCCGCGGUAAUACGGAGGGUGCGAGCGUUAAUCGGAAUUACUGGGCGUAAAGCGUACGUAGGCGGCUACUUAAGUGGGAUGUGAAAGCCCUGGGCUCAACCUGGGAACUGCAUCCCAAACUGGGUAGCUAGAGUGCNANAGAGGAGUGUGGAAUUUCCUGUGUAGCGGUGAAAUGCGUA
rnacentral:rRNA from 1 species